rnacentral:rRNA from 1 species
AUUGAACGCUGGCGGCAUGCCUUACACAUGCAAGUCGAACGGCAGCACGGGAGCAAUCCUGGUGGCGAGUGGCGAACGGGUGAGUAAUACAUCGGAACGUGCCCAAUCGUGGGGGAUAACGCAGCGAAAGCUGUGCUAAUACCGCAUACGAUCUACGGAUGAAAGCAGGGGAUCGCAAGACCUUGCGCGAAUGGAGCGGCCGAUGGCAGAUUAGGUAGUUGGUGAGGUAAAGGCUCACCAAGCCGUCGAUCUGUAGCUGGUCUGAGAGGACGACCAGCCACACUGGGACUGAGACACGGCCCAGACUCCUACGGGAGGCAGCAGUGGGGAAUUUUGGACAAUGGGCGAAAGCCUGAUCCAGCCAUGCCGCGUGCAGGAUGAAGGCCUUCGGGUUGUAAACUGCUUUUGUACGGAACGAAACGGCCUUUUCUAAUAAAGAGGGCUAAUGACGGUACCGUAAGAAUAAGCACCGGCUAACUACGUGCCAGCAGCCGCGGUAAUACGUAGGGUGCAAGCGUUAAUCGGAAUUACUGGGCGUAAAGCGUGCGCAGGCGGUUAUGUAAGACAGUUGUGAAAUCCCCGGGCUCAACCUGGGAACUGCAUCUGUGACUGCAUAGCUAGAGUACGGUAGAGGGGGAUGGAAUUCCGCGUGUAGCAGUGAAAUGCGUAGAUAUGCGGAGGAACACCGAUGGCGAAGGCAUCCCCUGGACCUGUACUGACGCUCAUGCACGAAAGCGUGGGGAGCAAACACG